CCUCCACAUCUCUGGUGCACUGCUGCAAUGCUUUGGGUCUCUUAUAAAGUGCCUCUCAGGGCCCUUUGAUUCCACCACCUACCUGCUCUUGUUUGUGAUGUGCCUGGCCACGACUGUUUCAAACCCCAACCAGCCAUCCUCUCAGCUUCAUGUGAAAGGAAUCCCUACAGACUUCUGCACAAUCACAGGACCACACCACCACUGAACAAAUUCUAAUGGCGUGUGUAACGCCUCAUCCUUCAGCUGAUCCCUGAGGAAGAUGCUGUUCUCUGACUUAAUCCCCCAUUCGUUGUCUAUUCCAAUACAUCUGUGACUCCUGCACACCUCACCACUGCCUCACUGUCCUCAUGCAUGUCCAAGUUACCAAGGAUCCAAACCUGAAAGAUAUAAAUGGAAAUGUCAGCGGUGGAGCAGCUACCCAAUCCUCAGCGCAGGAUAAUAGCCGAUCUGCCGAGGAAUUCCGAAGGGGCUUUGUCUCUAAACCCCACAUCCUCAAUUACCAACCCACCCAACAGCCCUGCUGAUGGUCUCCACAGUGCAAGGACGAGCUAAGAAAAAAAGUUCAGCAACAUGUAUGUACUCUGCUUUCCUUGGGAAUUCAAACAGAGCUGACUGUGAUGUCUUGGACAGAUCUGUUCAAAGAGAACGUACAUGCUUGCAUACAUUUGUGUAAAAAGUUUAUCUUAAGCUCUAACAAACUCUAAAUAGCCACAAACGGCAAUGACAGCAUAGGGAAAAGUGUUAAUAUAUCUUUUAAGUAGGUAUACAUUUAAGGUAGCACACAGCGCUUCUAUUCACAAACUCAUAAAUUUAACAAGGAGACGUUGCUGGGUCCAUUUCUGAAAAACCUAUCCUUUCCUCUAAACAACAUGGUAAUGUAAAAGACAAAAUGCAGAAUUUUAUCCCACAGAGCGAACAAAUUCUUUCUGGGAUUUUUGAGUCAAAUCGAAUAUUUAAACUUCCCAGUGUUUUUUGGGGGGGGUGG